rnacentral:lncRNA from 1 species
UCCACACGGAUGGAGAUGUAGACGCGGCCUAGAGACUCGGUGAGGCGGGUGACCCCGGAGCCAGGAGCGUGCGCCAGGGGAAGGCCAAGGGGGAGAAAGGCCACCGGAGGCCACCAGCAGGCUGGACUCUGGGCACCCGGGCAUGCGCCCCCCGGGCCACCCCGAGCGGAGUCUGCAGGUGCUUGAAUGAGCCCGACACCAGCCUCUGCCCCUGGGUGCCCGACGUAACAACAAGGAUCCCACUGGUCGCCCCUGGCAUGCCCCACCAGCCUUCACCCUGAGUUGGCAGCCCCCACCCCUGCCAGCCGUCACCCUGCAUUGUUCCGGCUCCCCCGAAGUCCCCACGCUGCAGUGCGGCCAAGACCCCUCCCCACGGGGGCCACCCCCACCAAGUGCCCCUGGUGCCCGGGGUGGCCCGGCCCGUCGGGCCAUGAAGCUGCAGGCAGUGAUGGAGACUCUUAUUCAGAGGCAACAGCGAGCCCGGCAGGAACUGGAGGCUCGACAGCCUCCACUACCCCCACCACCGGAGCCCGCUGGUGUCCAGGCUCGGACCACCAUGACAGAUGAGGACAGGGAGCCUGAGAAUGCCCGUAUGCAUAGGACGCAGAUGGCUGCACUGGCUGCCAUGCGGGCUGCUGCCGCCGGCUUGAGACAUCCGUCCUCUCCCGGGGGCUCGGAGGACGAAGACACAGCCCAGGGAGGGACUCUGAGUUCACCUGCCCUGCAUGGAAGUGGCCAGGAGGGACCGGGACACACUGAGGGAGACGGCCAUUUGAUGGACAUGGGCUCCGAUGAUGACACACGUCAGAAGAAUCCCAGUGGGCUGGGCAGAUUCCCAAGGAGCCACACUGACGCCAAAAAGGAGAGAGAGAGAUAGAGAGAGAAAGAGAGAGAGAGAAAAUAUAUAUAUAUACAUAUAUAUAUAUACAUAUAGAAAGAGAUAGGUAGAUGGAGAAACAGAUCUAAUAAAUCAGGGCAAAGCAAAGAACACUUGAAUCUCUCAGGUUUCGGAGACUCCGAGAAACGGAUUUGACGAGGGCCACCAGGGCAACGUCAAAGCCUAAGGAGGCCACCUUUCCAGAGGCUUCCGUGGGGGUUCGGCGUGACCAGCCUCAUUUAAGCACGUCUGUUUACCUCAUGAAUCCGGGCACCGCGUGUUCAUACCGUUUUGUUUUUGUUUCCUUUUUUUUUGUUUGUUUGUUUGGGUUUUUUUUUUCCUUUUUGUUAUUGUCGUCGUUGUUCCUUGGUCUUUAACCAUGGUUCCUUUCGAGAAAACCAACCUUGGAAGCUAUGAAUUUUUUUCUUUUUAAAACAAGAUCUCCACAUUCAGACACAUUUUUUUUAAGGUAGGGGGGGUUCUGAUUUUGUAAAUAUUCUAUUUUAUUCUUGAGGGCAGGGAUUGGAUCUUAGGAAGAGUCUAUCUGUAUAUCUAUAUAUUUGUGUUCAUUCAGGGAAACAGACUUU